AAACAAUGAUGAAAGCUAUGCUCUUGUGGUGAUUGGGUUGCCACGGUUUGUCCGAUCUUAACCAAAUGAAUAACAGCGCCUCUGAGUUU
rnacentral:snoRNA from 1 species